rnacentral:rRNA from 1 species
ACGCUCGACACCUACGGGGGGCAGCAGUGGGGAAUAUUGCACAAUGGGGGAAACCCUGAUGCAGCGACGCCGCGUGAGUGAAGAAGUAUUUCGGUAUGUAAAGCUCUAUCAGCAGGGAAGAAGAUGACGGUACCUGAGUAAGAAGCCCCGGCUAACUACGUGCCANCAGCCGCGGUAAUCUGAGGCGGGCUGGCAAGGC